GUUAUCUUUAAGCUAGUCCAGAGAGGCUAGGAAGGUUGUUAAAUAAUACUAGGGAUAUGUAUGCCUUCCUACGCCUAAAUGUAGGAAGGUUUUUUGUCU
rfam:[Clostridium] paradoxum JW-YL-7 = DSM 7308 strain JW-YL-7 ctg1, whole genome shotgun sequence.